rnacentral:snoRNA from 1 species
AACCCAUGAUGAGGACAGGCAGCGACAUAUUCCUGCAACUUUUCCCAAACUUCUGGGAUCGUCUCAUCUCUUGUCUGCUGGAAGUUGGAUAUUCUUCCACGAAGGAC